AGAGUUUGAUCCUGGCUCAGAACGAACGCUGGCGGCAUGCCUAACACAUGCAAGUCGGACGCUUCAUGGGUUUCGGCUCAUGGGGAGUGGCGCACGGGUGAGUAGCGCGUGGGAACCUGUCCUCUUGUGGGGGAUAACCGAGGGAAACUUCGGCUAAUACCGCAUGCGCCCCGGGGAGACCUGGGGGAAAGAUUUAUCGCAGGAGGAGGGGCCCGCGUCGGAUUAGGUAGUUGGCGGGGUAACGGCCCACCAAGCCGAUGAUCCGUAGCUGGUCUGAGAGGAUGAUCAGCCACACUGGGACUGAGACACGGCCCAGACUCCUACGGGAGGCAGCAGUGGGGAAUAUUGGACAAUGGGCGCAAGCCUGAUCCAGCAAUGCCGCGUGAGUGAUGAAGGCCUUCGGGUUGUAAAGCUCUUUGGGCGGGGACGAUGAUGACGGUACCCGCAGAACAAGCCCCGGCUAACUUCGUGCCAGCAGCCGCGGUAAUACGAAGGGGGCGAGCGUUGUUCGGAAUCACUGGGCGUAAAGGGCGCGUAGGCGGCGCGGCAAGUCAGGCGUGAAAGCCCCGGGCUCAACCUGGGAAUGGCGCUUGGGACUGCGGUGCUGGAGUUCGGGAGAGGAGAGUGGAAUUCCCAGUGUAGAGGUGAAAUUCGUAGAUAUUGGGAAGAACACCGGUGGCGAAGGCGGCUCUCUGGACCGAUACUGACGCUGAGGCGCGAAAGCGUGGGGAGCAAACAGGAUUAGAUACCCCGGUAGUCC
rnacentral:rRNA from 1 species